UGGGGAAUUUUGGACAAUGGGCGCAAGCCUGAUCCAGCCAUGCCGCGUGCGGGAAGAAGGCCUUCGGGUUGUAAACCGCUUUUGUCAGGGAAGAAAUCUUCUGAGUUAAUACCUCGGGAGGAUGACGGUACCUGAAGAAUAAGCACCGGCUAACUACGUGCCAGCAGCCGCGGUAAUACGUAGGGUGCAAGCGUUAAUCGGAAUUACUGGGCGUAAAGCGUGCGCAGGCGGUUUUGUAAGACAGAGGUGAAAUCCCCGGGCUCAACCUGGGAACUGCCUUUGUGACUGCAAGGCUUGAGUGCGGCAGAGGGGGAUGGAAUUCCGCGUGUAGCAGUGAAAUGCGUAGAUAUGCGGAGGAACACCGAUGGCGAAGGCAAUCCCCUGGGCCUGCACUGACGCUCAUGCACGAAAGCGUGGGGAGCAAACAGGAUUAGAUACCCUGGUAGUCCACGCCCUAAACGAUGUCAACUGGUUGUUGGGAAGGUUCCUUCUCAGUAACGUAGCUAACGCGUGAAGUUGACCGCCUGGGGAGUACGGCCGCAAGGUUGAAAACUCAAAUGAAUUGACGGGGUCAUAGCUG
rnacentral:rRNA from 1 species